GAUGAAGAACGUAGCGAAAUGCGAUAAGUAGUGUGAAUUGCAGAAUUCAGUGAAUCAUCGAAUCUUUGAACGCACAUUGCGCCCUUUGGUAUUCCUUAGGGCAUGCCUGUUCGAGCGUCAUUUACACCUUCAAGCUCUGCUUGGUGUUGGGCGUCUGUCCUGCCCCUCGGGGCGUGGACUCGCCUUAAAUCUAUUGGCGGCCGGUACCGUGGCUUUGAGCGCAGCACAUCAGCGACCUCAUCGCCGGAGCGUAUCGACUCCCAGAAGCCCAUUUUCUAUGUUUUGACCUCGGAUCAGGUAGGGAUACCCGCUGAACUUAAGCAUAUCAAUAAGCGGGGGA
rnacentral:misc_RNA from 1 species